AUUGAACGCUGGCGGCAGGCCUAACACAUGCAAGUCGAACGGUAACAGGGAUCAUCUUGCUGCUUCGCUGACGAGUGGCUGACGGGUGAGUAAUGGCUGGGAAACUGCCUGAUGGAGGGGGAUAACUACUGGAAACGUUAGCUAAGACCGCAUAACGUCGCAAGACCAAAGAGGGGGACCUUCGGGCCUCUUUCCAUCGGAUGUGCCCCGAUCGGAUUAGCUAGUAGGUGGGGUAACGGCUCACCUAGGCGACGAUCCCUAGCUGGUCUGAGAGGAUGACUCGCCAGCCGGGAAGUGAGACACGUUCCCGACUCCGACGGGAGGAAGCAGUGGGGAAUACUGCACGAUGCGGGAGUGCGUGAUGCAGCCAUGCCGCGUGUAUGAAGAAGGACUUCGGGUUGGUAAGUACUUACAGCGGGAAGGUAGGAAGUAAAGUUAAUACCUUUGCUCAUUGACAUUACCCGCAGAAGAAGCACCGGCUAACUCCGUG
rnacentral:rRNA from 1 species